AUGUCAAGCAAUUCAGUGUUCACCCCUGAAAUGACUAGGCAGUCCAUGAGCUUUUAUUUUCUGUUUUCAGAAAACCAACCUGUAGAACUAACAACAUUCUUUUCUAUCAGCUACAUAGAGAACAGUAUGGCAUUCAGCCAUGGAGGUGCACACACCAAAACUGUCCCCUUUUGCAACUUUAUCUCUAUUGGAAAUGCUAACACAAAAGGUGUAGGUGAAUUUGAGAUCCUUUUAGCUUUGAUGCAUUUCCCCCUACUUUCAGUAGUUAAAUCAUUAGCCUUAACCUUGUCAUCCUAUGGACUUAGAAAUUAA
rnacentral:rRNA from 1 species